rnacentral:rRNA from 1 species
GACGAACGCUGGCGGCGUGCUUAACACAUGCAAGUCGAACGAUGACGACCGAGCUUGCUCGGUCUGAUUAGUGGCGAACGGGUGAGUAACACGUGAGCAACCUGCCCUUCACUCUGGGAUAACUUCGGGAAAUCGGGGCUAAUACCGGAUAUGAGCUCCUGUCGCAUGGCGGCUGUUGGAAAGUUUUUGGGUGAAGGAUGGGCUCGAGGCGUUUCAGUUUGUUGGUGAGGUAUUGGCUCACCAAGGCGAUGACGGGUAGCCGGCCUGAGAGGGCGAGCGGCCAGACUGGGACUGAGACACGGCCCAGACUCCUACGGGAGGCAGCAGUGGGGAAUAUUGCACAAUGGGAGAAAGCCUGAUGCAGCGACGCCGCGUGAGGGAUGACGGCCUUCGGGUUGUAAACCACUUUCAGCAGGGAAGAAGCGAAAGUGACGGUACCUGAAGAAGAAGCGCCGGCUAACUACGUG